CCAAUAGCGUAUAUUAAAGUUGUUGCAGUUAAAAAGCUCGUAGUUGAAUUUUAGGCCUGACCGGGCGGUCCGUCUCUGGCGAGUACUGUCUGUUGUCGGGUCUAUCCUUCUGGUGAGCCGGUGUGUCCUUAACUGGGUGUGCCGGGGAACCAGGACCAUUACCUUGAAAAAAUUAGAGUGUUUAAAGCGGGCUUUUGCUUGAAUAGAUUAGCAUGGAAUAAUAGAAUAGGACGUUGGUUCUAUUUUGUUGGUCUAGGACCACCGUAAUGAUUAAUAGGGAUAGUUGGGGGCAUUAGCAUUCAAUUGUCAGAGGUGAAAUUCUUGGAUUUAUUGAAGACUAACUACUGCGAAAGCAUUUGCCAAGGAUGUCUUCAUUAAUCAAGAACGAAAGUUAGGGGAUCGAAGACGAUCAGAUACCGUCGUAGUCUUAACCAUAAACUAUGCCGACUAGGAAUCGGGCGACGUUAUUUUCAUGACUCGCUCGGCGCCUUAUG
rnacentral:rRNA from 1 species